AUUGAACGCUGGCGGCAGGCCUAACACAUGCAAGUCGAGCGGAGCGGAGGACGGGUGAGUAAUGCCUAGGAAUCUGCCUGGUAGUGGGGGAUAACGUCCGGAAACGGGAGCUAAUACCACAUACUAUCAGAUGAGCCUAGGUCGGAUUAGCUAGUUGGUGGGGUAAAGGCCUACCAAGGCGACGAUCCGUAACUGGUCUGAGAGGAUGAUCAAUCCCACUGGAACUGAGACACGGUCCAGACUCCUACUUGAUACAUCAAUGAUAAAUAUUGGACAAUGGGCGAAAGCCUGAUCCAGCCAUGCCGCGUGUGUGAAGAAGUUCUUCGGAUUUUAAAGCACUUUAAGUUGGGAGGCGUUACCCACAGAAUAAGCACCGGCUAACUUCGUGCCAGCAGCCGCGGUAAUAC
rnacentral:rRNA from 1 species